GUACACUGCCAGGGGAGUCGUCAUUAAGACUGAGAUGAUGUAUAACAUCAGACCCUUUGAACCUGAACUAUAUCAUUAUAGCGGAGGGAGGUGGUGCAGGAAUGAU
rnacentral:ncRNA from 2 species